AUUGAACGCUGGCGGCAGGCCUAACACAUGCAAGUCGAGCGGAUGAAGGGAGCUUGCUCCUGGAUUCAGCGGCGGACGGGUGAGUAAUGCCUAGGAAUCUGCCUGGUAGUGGGGGAUAACGUCCGGAAACGGGCGCUAAUACCGCAUACGUCCUGAGGGAGAAAGUGGGGGAUCUUCGGACCUCACGCUAUCAGAUGAGCCUAGGUCGGAUUAGCUAGUUGGUUGGGUAAAGGCCUACCAAGGCGACGAUCCGUAACUGGUCUGAGAGGAUGAUCAGUCACACUGGAACUGAGACACGGUCCAGACUCCUACGGGAGGCAGCAGUGGGGAAUAUUGGACAAUGGGCGAAAGCCUGAUCCAGCCAAGCCGCGUGUGUGAAGAAGGUCUUCGGAUUGUAAAGCACUUUGAGUUGGGGGGAAGGGCAGUAAGUUAAUACCUUGCUGUUUUGACGUUACCAAAAGAAUAAGCACCGGCUAACUUCGUG
rnacentral:rRNA from 1 species